AUUGAACGCUGGCGGCAUGCUUUACACAUGCAAGUCGAACGGUAACAGGCCUUCGUGUGCUGACGAGUGGCGAACGGGUGAGUAAUGCAUCGGAACGUACCCAGAGGUGGGGGAUAACGCAGCGAAAGCUGUGCUAAUACCGCAUGUGAUCUGAGGAUGAAAGCGGGGGACCGAGCAGCAAUGUUUGGCCUCGCGCCUUUGGAGCGGCCGAUGUCGGAUUAGCUAGUUGGUGGGGUAAAGGCCUACCAAGGCGACGAUCCGUAGCUGGUCUGAGAGGACGACCAGCCACACUGGGACUGAGACACGGCCCAGACUCCUACGGGAGGCAGCAGUGGGGAAUUUUGGACAAUGGGCGCAAGCCUGAUCCAGCAAUGCCGCGUGCGGGAAGAAGGCCUUCGGGUUGUAAACCGCUUUUGGCAGGAACGAAACGGUGUCCGCUAAUACCGGGCGCUAAUGACGGUACCUGCAGAAUAAGCACCGGCUAACUACGUG
rnacentral:rRNA from 1 species